GAUGAAGAACGUAGCGAAAUGCGAUACUUGGUGUGAAUUGCAGAAUCCCGUGAACCAUCGAGUCUUUGAACGCAAGUUGCGCCCGAAGCCAUCAGGUUGAGGGCACGUCUGCCUGGGCGUCACAUAUCGUUGCCCAAUGCCUAUUGCAGUGCAAUAGGAAUUUCUAGGGCGAAUGAUGGCUUCCCGUGAGCGUUGUUGCCUCGCGGUUGGUUGAAAAUCGAGUCCUUGGUAGGGUGUGCCAUGGUAGAUGGUGGUCGAGUUAGAACGAUACCGAUCAUGUGCAUGCUCCCCAAAAUAUGGCCUCUAUGACCCACACGCGUCUUUUGACGCUCAUGACGAGACCUCAGGUCAGGCGCGGCUACCCGCUGAAUUUAAGCAUAUCAAUAAGCGGAGGA
rnacentral:misc_RNA from 1 species